GUGCUCACUUUGGCAGCACAUAUAUUAAUACUGAAAUUGGAACAAUACAGAGAUCAGCACAGCCUCCGAGCAAGGGUGACACACAGAUUCUUAAAAUGUUUCCCCUCUCA
rnacentral:snRNA from 1 species